rnacentral:rRNA from 1 species
UACAUGGGGUGCAAACGUUGCUCGGAAUUAUUGGGCGUAAAGCGCACGUAGGUGGUCUGUUAUGUCAGAUGUGAAAGCCCUCGGCUUAACUGAGGAAGUGCACCUGAAACUGGCAGGCUUGAGUACGAAAGAGGGUCGCGGAAUUCCCGGUGUAGAGGUGAAAUUCGUAGAUAUCGGGAGGAACACCGGUGGCGAAGGCGGUUCUCUGGGCCUUACCUGACGCUGAGGAGCGAAAGCGUGGGGAGCGAACAGG